rnacentral:rRNA from 1 species
UUUUAAUUUAAAUUUAUAAGUUUAUUUAAAUUAAAAAUUGAAAUUUUAAUUAAAAUUUUGUUGGGGUGAUAGAAAAAUUUAAUAAACUUUUUUUUAUAAAUUACAUAGAUAAGUGAUUAUUUGAUCCAUUUUUAUUGGUUAUAAGAUUAAAUUACCUUAGGGAUAACAGCGU